rnacentral:rRNA from 1 species
CACGUAGGGCGCAAGCGUUGUCCGGAAUUAUUGGGCGUAAAGAGCUCGUAGGCGGUCUGUCGCGUCGGCUGUGAAAACCCGGAGCUCAACUCCGGGCCUGCAGUCGAUACGGGCAGACUGGAGUUCGGCAGGGGAGACUGGAAUUCCUGGUGUAGCGGUGAAAUGCGCAGAUAUCAGGAGGAACACCGGUGGCGAAGGCGGGUCUCUGGGCCGAUACUGACGCUGAGGAGCGAAAGCGUGGGGAGCGAACAGG